rnacentral:tRNA from 1 species
GCUAUUUUGGCAGAUAAGUGCGGUGGAUUUAGAAUCUGUUUAUGCAAAUUUUACUUUGUAAGUAGUA